rnacentral:sRNA from 1 species
AUGCACGACAUAAAUCUCGAUACCUCGUUAAAGUUAGCAUCCACUUGCUGAUUGUUAGCUGAGGAUAUCGUAUUUAUAGCUGCAA